rnacentral:rRNA from 1 species
GGGGAAUAUUGCACAAUGGGGGAAACCCUGAUGCAGCAACGCCGCGUGAGUGAAGAAGUAUUUCGGUAUGUAAAGCUCUAUCAGCAGGGAAGAUAAUGACGGUACCUGACUAAGAAGCUCCGGCUAAAUACGUGCCAGCAGCCGCGGUAAUACGUAUGGAGCAAGCGUUAUCCGGAUUUACUGGGUGUAAAGGGUGCGUAGGUGGCAGUGCAAGUCAGAUGUGAAAGGCCGGGGCUCAACCCCGGAGCUGCAUUUGAAACUGCAUAGCUAGAGUACAGGAGAGGCAGGCGGAAUUCCUAGUGUAGCGGUGAAAUGCGUAGAUAUUAGGAGGAACACCAGUGGCGAAGGCGGCCUGCUGGACUGUUACUGACACUGAGGCACGAAAGCGUGGGGAGCAAACAGGAUUAGAUACCCUGGUAGUCCCACGCCGUAAACGAUGAAUACUAGGUGUCGGGGCCG